rnacentral:tRNA from 7 species
AGGCGCGUAGCUCAGGGGUAGAGCACUACCUUGACAUGGUAGGGGUCGGCGGUUCGAUCCCGCCCGCGCCUACCA